AACGAACGCUGGCGGCGUGCCUAAUACAUGCAAGUCGAGCGCAGGAAGCUGACGGAACUCUUCGGAGGGAAGGCAGUGGAAUGAGCGGCGGACGGGUGAGUAACACGUAAGGAACCUGCCUCAAGGAUUGGGAUAACUCCGAGAAAUCGGAGCUAAUACCGGAUAGUUCAACGGACCGCAUGGUCCGCUGAUGAAAGGCGCUUCGGCGUCACCUUGAGAUGGCCUUGCGGUGCAUUAGCUAGUUGGUGGGGUAACGGCCCACCAAGGCGACGAUGCAUAGCCGGCCUGAGAGGGUGAUCGGCCACACUGGGACUGAGACACGGCCCAGACUCCUACGGGAGGCAGCAGUAGGGAAUCUUCCACAAUGGACGAAAGUCUGAUGGAGCAACGCCGCGUGAGUGAUGAAGGUUUUCGGAUCGUAAAACUCUGUUGUAAGGGAAGAACACGUACGAGAGGGAAUGCUCGUACCUUGACGGUACCUUACGAGAAAGCCACGGCUAACUACGUGCCAGCAGCCGCAGUAACAC
rnacentral:rRNA from 1 species